rnacentral:tRNA from 1 species
GGGGACUUAGCUCAGUGGUAGAGCACUUGCCUAGCAAGCACAAGGCUCCGGGUUCAGUCCUCA